ensembl:lncRNA
CUCCAGGCUCCCUGUGACCCUGUGUAGGAUAAGUGGUACAGAAAUGGAUGGGUGGAUUGAUAAUAAUCACAAACUUGUUAUUUGUUAUUAAUAUGUUAUGUGUUAUUACAUUACCUUAGCUACCACUCUUUAGAUUAGUCCAUUUCUGUGCACACUGGAGCUUUCAUUUUUUCUCUGGCAUCGCUAGAAAAUUUAGGAUUUGUCCACUUGUGCAGGACCUCUGUAGUUCCAUCAGAGUGACCUUCUGGUUCUUACUGCCCACUCUAUUAGACAAACCAUGCACAGUGUGUGUUAAUUGUCCUCUAGGGCUUCAUCAGUGUCAGUUUGCAACCGCAACACCACUGGUUUUUGUUUGGUGGACUGUUCUUCAACACAGCAGUGACUUUGAAUGCCAACAAUGCUGCUGCACCAGAUCCACUCCUUCUUCCAGCUCCAGCUACACUAACAUGUCUCUGAUGAGAAUGACACACCAAAAAAAUAAUCUUGUCAGUAUUCUUCUUGUAGUGGUCUCUUUCCAUUGGUGGAUGGAGUAGGGAGUGGCCACAAAGUGGCCUACUUCAUAAAAUGGCCAAUGAGAGAAAAAGAGAGCUUGACAUGCACUAGUAUAUAUGAAAUUAAACUCUGAAAACAAUCGAACUGAAUUUUAAAGUGUUCAGAGAAUAGAAUGAGAUGCGAUGCCUGGCAGAAAUGGGUAUUAAAUUAUUUAUAGGUCAAGAUGGGAGGUUACAGUGGUGUGACUAAACCAGAAUCCCAGGAUUGUGGGAGAGAUCUGGACAGAGUGCUAGUGCGAGUUACAAUAAUGUCCGUCUCCUCUGUAAUGGGACUAAACCACGACGACAGCAUCUUCAAACCAGCCCCUUACCCAAAUCCCCCCCACCACCAUCACCCAUUCUCUAUCUAAUGAUAGUGCUGCUCUGUGAUCCCUAUAGUUCAUUAACAAGCAGGCUUUUUAAUGAGCUUUCAGCCUGGAAUGGGGGAGGCUGAGUAGCAGGGACCAUAUGUAGCUCUCACCCCGAUGCCCAAUUAUCACUGCGUCAGAACAACUACAGAGGGGGAGGCGUUGGGCAAGCACCAAACCGUGUCAUUUAUACCUCUCCAGUUUAGGUAAAUUCCUUUCACUGGCUCUCGUCAGGGGAGGGAGAAUUACAGGGACUGAGAAGAGAAUGAUGCAAGAGAGGAGAAGGAAAGAGGGAAAGCAAAGGAAGGACCUGUUAAAGGGCUAAACCACAGAAAGGUUCUCUAAUGCUUUUUUAUCCUUCAUCCCAAAACCUGAAAUCCCACCCUGGUUCUUUACCGAGACCACAGAGAGAAAUCUGAAGCCUAAAAUUACCCUCCUUCUCCCCACGGGAGUGAAACACAACGGUCCAGCUGCCUAACGCUGGACUACACAUAGACAACCACGCCGCAGAGGCGUAGAGAUAAAGGCAGAUCUGGAUUUAUACAAUGAUUCAUUCUUAC